rnacentral:rRNA from 1 species
GUGCCAGCCGCCGCGGUAAUACGGAGGGAGCGAACGUUGUUCGGAAUCACUGGGUGUAAAGGGUGCGUAGGCGGCCUUGUAUGUCGGAGGUGAAAUCUACCGGCUCAACCGGUCAAAUUGCCUCCGAAACUGCUUGGCUUGAGUCCGGAAGGGGAGGGUGGAAUUCCUGGUGUAACGGUGAAAUGUGCAGAUAUCAGGAGGAACACCGGUGGCGAAGGCGGCCCUCUGGUCCGGUACUGACGCUGAGGCACGAAAGCCAGGGGAUCAAACGGGAUUAGAAACCCCAGUAGUCC